rnacentral:misc_RNA from 1 species
CCAACACGUGCGCAACCGCAAUCGUAAAUGAAAUUUGUAUUUGGAUUUUUUAUUUGAAGCCGCAACAUGGAAAUAGGUGAAGAACUGCGAACAUGGCUGCAGGACAAGAGCAAAGCAUACACGGCACGCCUGGAAUUCUCAAUUAAAGUCUGGCAAUCGCUCGACUUCGUUUACAUCAACAAGCACGAAGUCAUUUGCCAAUGGCUCGCCGAGACGCUGGAUGAACAGGAGCAGACGGAGUCUGAACUGCCCGUGGCACAGCUGCAGCAGCUGUUCAGUCUGCGCGCCCAGCCGGGCCUGGUAAGCGUGGCCACAAAAUCAUUGCUUAUUCAGGCGCUGCUCAAACGCAUCCGGAAAGCUGCACCCGCCGAUGCACAGGCGCACCCAGAACUGCUGCAGCGCCUGAUCAACUUUGAGCUGGUUCAGGAUGCACUGCGCGCCGACUACGAGCUGCUCAUGUCCUGCUACGGCACGCUCUUCACCUGUUACGAGCGACAGCUGCUCCGUUCCGUUGCUCCUGAUCAGCUGCUGCAGCUGCGUCAUGCGGACUUUGUGCUGCCCCUGCUGCAGCAACUGCGCGACUAUGUACAGCGCGCCCAGAAUCACCAGCGCCUGCUCCAGGCCUACACGAAGUCGGCGCUGCAGCCGCUCUGCCAGCUGUUGCUGCAGCUGCGCGAGCAUGGACUCUGCUGCUUCGAGCAGCUGGCGGCAUUGGAAGCACAGCUCACCGACCAGCUAAAGACGUCCGGCGCCACCAAGCGCAUGUCCGCGCAGCCGCUGCAUGUGCAUCUGCUGCUGCUGGAGUGCGCGCUGCUCAACCAUCGCUACGAUCCGUCCAAGCAGCACAAGCUGAUGCAAUACGCGCUCAAAUGGCAACAGGCGGAGAUCGAGCCGGAGACGGAGAUCGAACAGGAGCAGCCAACUGAGCCGGAGACGCAUCCCCUGGCGUUGCUACUGACCACCCAUGCGCUGGAGUCGCUGCGCAAGCACAACAUACAGCUACAGUUUCCCGACCAGCUGAAGCAAACGGCACUCAGCUUUGUUGGCGACCAACUGUUCCUACUGCUGCGCCAGCAUCGGGCGGAACAUUUGCGUGAGGUACUGCAGCUGCUGUGCGCUGCGCUGCGUCUCAAUCCGCUGCUAAUCCAGCCGCAUGUCUAUCAGUUCACGGUCUGGAUGAUGUGCGCGCCCAAGCGCAAUGCGCUCGAGCUGCGCCUCUACUCCGAGUAUCUUGUACUCCUGCUGGACAUGUGCCGGCGGCUCAGCCACACCGAGCGCUUUGUGAUGCAGCUGCUCAAGUCGCUGCGCGAAUGGCUGCACAAAUUCGAGCUGCCUGCGCUGCCCGCCGGCAGCAGCGGCGUAGAGUCCAAGCGCAGUCGCCAGAGUCUGGAAGCGGCGCAGCAGCAGCUGGACAACUGCAGCUAUGUCCAGCUACUACUCAAAUACGCCACGAAUAGCUCCUGCGCCAGCUCUAACUGCAGCUCCAGCUCGAACCACAGCUCGGAGCGUCUGGCACAGACCUGGCCCAGUCACUCCGCGGGCGCCGCCUUCAUCCGCCUUGUCAGCCAGCUGAUGUUCAAGCCCUCGCUGGCCAUUUGGAAGAUGUUGCUCUUUAGCUUUGCCGAGCUGCUCGAGCCCGAGUCGAACGCCGUUCUCGCACCGAAUCUGAGCUUUGCCAUCGAACUGCAGGCCACGCUGCUCGCGCAGUAUCUGCUGGGCACACGCAUGGCGGAGCAGGUGCAGCAUCAUCAGCCGGAGCUGGAACAGCAGCGCCAGCAUACGAUCCAGGUGCUCCAGCAAUUCGGACGCUAUCUGCUCGCACGUGAGCACAAUCGACGCACCAUGAACGUCUUCCUCGAGUGCGUGGAGCGCGCCAACAGCUUCGAGCUGCUGCUCGCCUACUACUGGCCGGACGGACUGUCGCGGCCGCAGCCCGUGGAGCAGCUGCCGCAGCUGCAUCGCUUUCUAUCCGCCGACGAGUGGGAGCUGAUCCAGCAGCGUGUACACAAUUUUGGCAAGUCCCUUUGCCGGCAGCGAUUGCAGCGCCUGGAGCUGCAGCUGGCCGAGAGCGGCUGGCUGCUGUUGCCCAAUCAGCGGGCGGAGCCCUGCCCGGAUGCACUUGUCCAGCUGCUGCCGUGGCAGCUCUCCAUGCAUCUGACGCGCGACCAGAAACAGCUGCGUCUCCAGCAGCAGCAUCAGCAGCAGCUGGCCGCCCAUCUGCCCGAGGAUGCGGAGUGCGUGGAGCUGCUUGCGCUGCAGCUGCUCGAGGAGUACGCGGCCAGCCUGAAGCUGGCCAAGAUCAAGGGUGCGCUGCUGCCCAAACAGCUGCCCCAGGCCGAGCACGAGUCCGCUCUGGCCCAGACGCUGAGGCAGCACUGCGCCAGCAGCAAGCGGCCAGCGCUGCCGGAGGAAUCCACACGCCAACUGGUCGAGGCACUGCAGCAGCUGCCGCUCGCCCAGCUCCAGAGCGGCAUCAAGUUGCGGCUCUUUUUGCUCAUCUUCAGCCUUUAUCAGGAUGUGCGGCGCGAUGAGCUGACGCAGUUGGGCGACCAGCUGCUCGAGCAGCUUAUUGAUCUGCUGCACUUUGGCCAGCCUUUGCCGCUCUGCAGCCACCUGCCGCAGCUGGAGGAGCUGCUGCAGCUGGUGCCCCUGGAGGGCAGCGAUGACUCGACCGCCUGGCGCUUCUAUGAGACACUUUUCGGGCGCUGCAUACGCCGUCUGGCGCCGGGCAGCGAUGCCUUUCUGGUCAGCUGUGCGGCGCUCUUCCGCGAGCAGGCGCAGCUGUCGCCGGCGCAUUGCCGGCUGCUGUUGCUGGCCAUAGAGACGCUGGCGAGCGCGACGGGCGUGCUGAACCGACGAAUGCAACGGCAUCUGCAGCCGCUGCUCGAGAUCUAUGGCAAGUUUGUGGCGCACAAGUUCCGCUCGCACAAGAAAUCGCCGGCUGUCUACAAGGACUUUGUGCAGCAGACCCUCAGCGGCUAUGCCAUCUAUCUGAGCAGCUGCAUCAAUCGUGCCGCCAAGCAGCAGCGGGACGAGCAGGUGCCGGAGAAAACACAAACGAGCGGCGACUCUUCCGUACAGCCCAUCGAUGAGAACUUUCGGCGCAUCUGCAAGAUUUACAUUGGACACUCGCUCAAUUAUCGCAAUGCGCAUGCGAUACGUCUGCUAAAUGUGGCUCUAACGCAUCGCCAGCUGCUGCAUCUGGACCAGGACGAGAUUGAGUUUGUGCUAGACAGCUAUUGGCGCCAGCUGAACGCGGACAUUGCGUCCGAAUCGGCGCUGGACAUGGGCAGCAUUGAGCCCGCCGUCAAGCUAAUUAUUGGCUACAAGACCAACGAGGAUUUUCUGCUGCUGCUGCGACGCCUCAGCCAACAGCUGGACGGAAUGCGUCGGCCGGAGACAAAAGCCGAGCACACCAGCCUGCAGAACGUGCUCGUCCUGCUCACGCUGAUCGCCAAAUGCUCACUGAGCAGCAUCAAGGGAGCGAUGCUCAACGAGCACUUCGAGCUGAUCAGCGGCAAUGUGUCGCUGCGUCUGCCGCCGGCAAGCGACGCCGCCUACUGCGGCCAUGUGCUGCGCCUGCUGGAGGCACAGCGCGCCCUGGCCGGCAACCGGACCGUGCCGCUGACCGGCGAGACGCUCGACUCGCUGCUGGCCAGCAUGCUGGACGUGAAUAUCAAACGCUUCAUUGUGGCCGGCGGCAGCUGGUCAAACUUUCGGCAGCUGCAUUCGGCGCUUGCCGAGAAUUGUCUGUUGCUGUUGCGUCAGCAGGCAGCGCUCAUGUCGGAUCGUGCACCGCAGCUGGCGGCGCUCUGCCAGGAUCUGGUGCAGUCGAUUGUCUGUUAUCGCAGCGAACGCAAGCAGGCCCAGAGUCUGACCGAUGAGGAGCUGGAUGGUUUGUCGGAGCUGGCGCUCAAAUUGGUCACACUCAUGGCUGGCAUUGCCGCCGGGCCUCAGGCGCUGGCCAUGAAGCGUGUGGCGCCCUUUUUGCUCAUCUUUACCAUCAAGCAAAUGAUUGCCACCGAGCGGCCCACCACGCUCUUCGAGAAGGUCAAGAUGCAUUUGGAUCGCUUCUGUCAUGAGCUGAUCGGAAUUUGUGAUCAUCGCGCCGGACACUUUAUAUUGCGCGCCAGCAGCGAGGCGGGCGCCCGCAUGUACCAGAGCCUGGUCAAGGAGCACGACAAGUAUCACAAGUUCCGCGGCAAGGUCUAGGCAGCAACAGCUCCCUUUCUUUUCUACUCUAAAGUUGGUUUAAUUAAUAAAUGUGAUUUACAUCAAAUAAUUGCAACUUGGCAGUGCGGCCCAUUUGUUGCAAUCAAGAGUUGUGCAGUGCGGCCCAUUUGCAUUUAAGAGCUUGACAAGGCAAGGUCUACGAAGCGAGAGUGAUUAAAUAAUAUGAUUAACAUCAAAUAACUGCAACUUGCCAGUGCGGCCCAUUUUUCGCAGUCAAGCGUUUCGCAGUGCUGCCCAUUUGCAUUUGAUAGCUUGACAUGGCAGAUCUGAGAAACGAAAGAGUACGCCUUUUUUCUACUCUAAAGUUAGUUGGUUUUUUUUAUUAAAUAUUAAUAAAUGUGAUUUACAUCAAAUAAUUGCAACAUCUUUUUUGUUUCUUGUUGUGUUCGUACAUUUUUGAUUUUGUUGUUGUGUUCCGUUUGUUUUUUUUUGUCGUGUGUAAGGGUCUCUCUUUUUGAGCUGUGCCCAUGAUUUAAGCUUGCGAGCGGGUAACACAGCCUAAGGCAGUCGGCGAGAGCUUUACAGUGUAUGUAUGUGUGUGUGUUGCAGUGCGCCCCAUUUUAGUUGUUGUUGGCAAUCAAGAGUUGUGCAGUGCGGCCCCAUUUGCAUUUAAGAGCUUGACACAGUGCGCCCCAUUAGCAUGCAAUUAGAUGAAUUCACAAGUUUCGAUGUGUUACUUUAUCGUUUGAUU